AAAGCAUUGGUUUUGGGUUCUUAUCCCAUUUGGGACCAAAUAUCAACAAGUCUUUCUACUCACUUCUAAACAUUCUUCAUGCAUCUCUAGCACUUGUAAUCAAUCAAAUUCAUUGUAUUAUAACAUAUUCUAACCCAAAAUAACUUUAUACAAGCCAUUCACUGCCUCAAAGCAAUGGUUUUGGGUACUUAUCCCAUUUGAGACCAAAUUUCAACAAGUCUUUCUUCUCACUUCUUAGCAUUCUUCAUACAUCUCUAGCACUUGUAAUCAAUCAAAUUCAUUGU
rnacentral:lncRNA from 1 species